GAUCAUGGCUCAGAACGAACGCUGGCGGCGUGGAUAAGACAUGCAAGUCGAACGAGAGAAUUGCUAGCUUGCUAAUAAUUCUCUAGUGGCGCACGGGUGAGUAACACGUGAGUAACCUGCCCCCGAGAGCGGGAUAGCCCUGGGAAACUGGGAUUAAUACCGCAUAGUAUCGAAAGAUUAAAGCAGCAAUGCGCUUGGGGGAUGGGCUCGCGGCCUAUUAGUUAGUUGGUGAGGUAACGG
rnacentral:rRNA from 1 species